CGUGGGGACCAAGCGUUGUUCGGAUUUACUGGGCGUAAAGGGCGCGUAGGCGGCAAUUCAAGUCAGUUGUGAAAUCUCCGAGCUUAACUCGGAACGGUCAACUGAUACUGCUUUGCUAGAGUACAGAAGGGGCAAUCGGAAUUCUUGGUGUAGCGGUGAAAUGCGUAGAUAUCAAGAGGAACACCUGAGGUGAAGACGGGUUGCUGGGCUGAUACUGACGCUGAGGCGCGAAAGCUAGGGUAGCAAACGGGAUUAGAUACCCCGGUAGUCCUAGCCCUAAACGAUGAAUACUUGGUGUCUGGAGUUUAAUUCUCCGGGUGCCGUCGCUAACGUUUUUAGUAUUCCGCCUGGGGAGUACGCACGCAAGUGUG
rnacentral:rRNA from 1 species